rnacentral:rRNA from 1 species
GUCUACGGCCAUGCCACCCUGAACAAGCCUGAUCCCGUCUGAUCUCGGAAACUAAGCAGGGGCGGGCCUGGUUAGUACUUGGAUGGGAGACCACCUAGGAAGACCAGGUGCUGUAGGCA